AACCGGAUUAGAUACCCUGGUAGUCCACGCCCUAAACGAUGUCUACUAGUUGUCGGGUCUUAAUUGACUUGGUAACGCAGCUAACGCGUGAAGUAGACCGCCUGGGGAGUACGGUCGCAAGAUUAAAACUCAAAGGAAUUGACGGGGACCCGCACAUGCGGUGGAUGAUGUGGAUUAAUUCGAUGCAACGCGAAAAACCUUACCUACCCUUGACAUGUACAGAAUCCCGAAGAGAUUUGGGAGUGUUCGAAAGAAAACUGUAACACAGGUGCUGCAUGGCUGUCGUCAGCUCGUGUCGUGAGAUGUUGGGUUAAGUCCCGCAACGAGCGCAACCCUUGUCAUUAGUUGCUACGAAAGGGCACUCUAAUGAGACUGCCGGUGACAAACCGGAGGAAGGUGGGGAUGACGUCAAGUCCUCAUGGCCCUUAUGGGCAGGGCUUCACACGUCAUACAAUGGUACAUACAGAGGGCCGCCAACCCGCGAGGGGGAGCUAAUCCCAGAAAGUGUAUCGUAGUCCGGAUUGUAGUCUGCAACUCGACUACAUGAAGUUGGAAUCGCUAGUAAUCGCGGAUCAGCAUGUCGCGGUGAAUACGUUCCCGGGUCUUGUACACACCGCCCGUCACACCAUGGGAGCGGGUUUUACCAGAAGUAGGUAGCCUAACCGUAAGGAGGGCGCUUACCACGGUAGGAUUCGUGACUGGGGUGAAGUCGUAACAAGGUAACCGUA
rnacentral:rRNA from 1 species